rnacentral:rRNA from 1 species
CACGUAGGAGGCGAGCGUUGUCCGAAAUCAUUGGGCGUAAAGAGCGCGCAGGCGGCUUGGCAAGUCGGGUGUGAAAUCCCGGGGCUCAACCCCGUGACUGCAUUCGAUACUGUCAGGCUAGAGGUAGGUAGGGGAGAUCGGAAUUCCUGGUGUAGCGGUGAAAUGCGCAGAUAUCAGGAGGAACAGCCGGUGGCGAAGGCGGAUCUCUGGGCCUUACCUGACGCUCAGGCGCGAAAGCGUGGGGAGCGAACAGG